rnacentral:rRNA from 1 species
UGGGGCAUUUUGCACAAUGGGGUAAACCCUGAUGCAGCGACGCCGCGUGAUUUAGAAGGCCUUCGGGUUGUAAAAAUCUUUUCUAUGGGAAGAAAAUGACAGUACCAUAGGAAUAAGGACCGGCUAAUUACGUGCCAGCAGCCGCGGUAAUACGUAAGGUCCGAGCGUUGUCCGGAAUCCUUGGGCGUAAAGGGUACGUAGGCGGGUAAGCAAGUUAGAAGUGAAAUCCUAUAGCUCAACUAUAGUAAGCUUUUAAAACUGCUCAUCUUGAGGUAUGGAAAGGAAAGUGGAAUUCAUAGUGAAGCGGUGAAAUGCGAAGAUAUUAGGAGGAAUACCGGUGGCGAAGGCGACUUUCUGGCCAUAACCUGACGCGGAGGUACGAAAGCGUGGGUAGCAGACAGG